AUUGAACGCUGGCGGCAGGCCUAACACAUGCAAGUCGAGCGGAUGAAGGGAGCUUGCUCCUGGAUUCAGCGGCGGACGGGUGAGUAAUGCCUAGGAAUCUGCCUGGUAGUGGGGGAUAACGUCCGGAAACGGGCGCUAAUACCGCAUACGUCCUGAGGGAGAAAGGGGGGGAUCUUCGGACCUCACGCUAUCUGAUGAGCCUAGGUCGGAUUAGCUAGUUGGUGGGGUAAAGGCCUACCAAGGCGACGAUCCGUAACUGGUCUGAGAGGAUGAUCAGUCACACUGGAACUGAGACACGGUCCAGACUCCUACGGGAGGCAGCAGUGGGGAAUAUUGGACAAUGGGCGAAAGCCUGAUCCAGCCAUGCCGCGUGUGUGAAGAAGGUCUUCGGAUUGUAAAGCACUUUAAGUUGGGAGGAAGGGCAGUAAGUUAAUACCUUGCUGUUUUGACGUUACCAACAGAAUAAGCACCGGCUAACUUCGUG
rnacentral:rRNA from 1 species